UAACAGUGCUGUGUGUCCAUAGAGGUUGCCACUCCUAAAUAACUCAUGACCCGGUAACUUACAUUUUUAUUCCAAGCAUUGAAAACAACAGACUGUUGGAACAGAACAUUUUUGGAAGUAAAACUGAUUUAGAUAUCCCAAGCAAGUUUGUUCCAGGUGGGUGUGCAAUAUAGAAUAACAGCUUUGAACACAGAAAUGGCCAAGAGUUGUAGCAACAGAACAGCAGAAUAACAUAGUACAUGACAAUUAUAUUUAUAAUCUGUGAUAAUGUUAUAAAAUGUCUUCUUAAAG